UUCUUUGGCGGUGAUCGUGACCUCGUAAAUCUUGACCACUGAAACGACAAUUGGUAAAAAUUAUUGUAUUUGAAUUAAUAUUUAACCCUUUCACUAGUUUUGUGUGUUGUGUGAUAUAUUCGAGUGAAAUAUGAGAAGAUACGUAUAAAUAUUCGUCGCAUGGAAUGUUACGUAUAAGUGAAUAGUAUGUUUCAAUUAAGAUUAAACAACGGCAAUGGGCGAAAACAUUUCCUGGAUAGGAAAUCUGGAUCGUUGCCAGUCCCGAUUCCAUCCUUCUUAUCCUGUACACCGCGGCAUUACUUUCAACAUCUUGCAGUAUUCGACUUCUUACCGUCUUCCCACUUGAAAGUGGAAAGUGUCCGGAAGGCCAAGCUUCCAGCUUUCAUUAGUUACGUCUUCGAACAACCGGCUCCCACGAGCACUUAUCGAACUGGAACGAUCGUGACUCCGUGAACUGGAAUUACAUGAACUUAUUACACUGCGCCACUUUCAGCCGCGGACACGGAUGGUCGUUAGAAUCGGUCCGAUCUAUUGGAACUUGCCUGUAAUCUACCAGUUUGGUCCGUUUAACGGGCUCAUUACAAGUUGACGGUGGAUUGGUGGGGGAGGAAGGUGGCACGAUGUAUGAUCAUGAAGACAACUUUAAGGAAAGUUUAUCAUUCGUCACAGAGGAGAUUAUGGAGGAGCGACUCGGUUUCUGGUCGAACGAUUGAAGAGGAAAUUUGUAAAGAUUAAACCAAGAUUAUUAGUUGUUAUGCAAACGCUAUCUAUCAAUUUUUAGUGUCCAUCAAUUUUGAAGUUCAGGUAUACAAAUAUCAAUAUUUCACAUAUUUCUAUUGAUCGAAUCUUCGAGUAAAAAAACUGAUCUACUCUCGUUGAAUAUAAAGUACGAAGUAUAUUUUCAUGGAAACACUGUCCCUGAUGCUUAAUUUAAGAAACACAAUACUCGUGUCAUUUAAUUAUAUUAAAAAUUCGAUGAAACACAUGGUUUCAUAGAGUAAAAAAAAAAAUUUGUAUUUCCUUACACGAAAUUUGAUACAUCCAUGAUAAAAAUUAAUUUGUUUCACGAGAACAAUUUCCGAGAACACUGUACACCAUUCUUUUUUUUUUGUUGCACUUCUCGAGCUCUAGACGCUUCUGAUAGGCUUCGAGCCAUUCUUUCUCGAUGAACAGGGCUUGGUUCGAAGAAGUGUGAAAAGAAUGAUGAAUAGGGGAAUUAUCAGUGAAGCAAAAGUUACCGAGUCAGUUCUAGGUGUGCUGAGUUAUGGAUACUCGAAUAGCAUUAUUAAAAGCCAUUAUUCAGAACGCAUGUUAUCGAGAUUUUAUCGGAAAUUAGUUCUUUGAUCCUAUUCAAUAUCGUCUGAUCGUGUAAUAAAUUUUAUAUCGAAAUAAUUGUCCUUGGAUGCGAAUAAAUUUAAAUAAAAUAAGGAUAAAAAAAUGAUAAUUUCAAAUUAUGAAUUAAUAUUUAUUUUGUAAGGAACACACAGGGAAUUGGAACGUUAAAAUCGGAUAAAAUGAUGUGUUACUUAAAUAUUUAUGUAAUAUUUAUAUUAUUCAAAUAUUUUAUUAAGCAAAAUCUGAUCGCCCCAGUAUUUAUUUUAUUUAUUUAUUUUGUAAUGGAAAUAUUAUGUAUUAAAGCUUAUGAAUAAAUAUCGUUCAUAUAUUCAAUUUAAUUUUA